GACAGAGCUCUGACAGCAGCAACGAAAACAUGAAGAACUCAUCAGCCUCCGUGCCAGCAAGCAAAGGCAGUAGCAGUGUCUCUUGGCAAACUGGCUUUUCUUCUACUCUCUCUGUCUCUAUCCCUCCCUUUCUCUCUAGGGCAUGGAAUGAAGAAACAGAAUUGGAUUGCCUCUCACCUUUGCACCGAACUGGUGCGGCGAGUCGCAGUGAGCAGAAGCGGCUGCAAGAAAAAGGAAGGGCUGUAAGGAAUGGGGCAAGAGUAACACUACCCAAAAGCCAGGGAAUUCCCUCUUCCCAAAUUCGUCCUCACCCCACAACCGCGUUUAAGAGCCCGUGCCGAAGAGCGCACCCACGCACCGCACCACACCCUACAACGCCCCCACGCCCUUUAGAGUCUCCGGAUCUCACAGGGAUUCCCUCUCGGACCUUCCCACUUCCCACCCAGAUUCUACUGCGUGGGAGGGAUUGCAAAAGGGGAACGAGGGGGGGCCUGCACCCCAGCCGAGCCGCUUUGUGCAAGCGCUGUCACCCGAAGUCACCCACCGCCCCCACCCCAGCGCAGCCUCGCGCCUCCAACCUCCGAGUGCCUGCUAGAGGGCGGGCGCGGCUCCGAACCCCCCGAAUCCUCCCAGGAGCCGCGCGCACAGGACUGGACAAUUCGCGCAGGGAGCGAAGCGCAGCCUGCGCUCAGCCGCCGGCCGCCGCGGCGCCGCUGCUUCCGCCCCUGUCACGCCGUGACCCGGUGGGGGAGGAGCUGGGGAGGGGCUCGGAACCCGCCUCCGUCCCGGGCGCUCCGCCCCGGCUAUUUCCGCCGGCGCAGCUUAAACCGGAGAGAAGGGGAGGGAAUAGAGGCGGGGUCUGCUGCGCGGAGGGUGGGCUAGAGUACCAAGACUGGGAGGGACGACCCGGGAGCGGACGGAUCCCAGACUGAGAGCUGGGAGGUGCAGCCGGUGGGUUCCUGUAGCCAGCUCGGGCAGUUGUGCGGCAAGAGCGCGUAUAAACCUGAGAUACUUUGAGGAAAUUGAGGCCCAGAAAACUCCAAAUUCAGCGCUCUUGACACCACCUCACUCUGCAAGAGGCGAAGUGGAUGCUGCACGUCCUCUACCAAGGAGCCGAGCUGUGGUUGUUAGAAGAGCUGCCGCACUACUGAAGCCACGUGUGAAAUGUGUCUGGAAUAUGCCAUCCACCCCCUCUGACCCCGUCAUUUACCCAAAUGUAUUGGGCCUUAUUGAUUUUUACAGGCGAAAAUGACCCGUGGACUUGCUUCAUGCAUUCUACUCUAGCUGUUUCCGUUUAAGCCUAGGGAGUAAAAAAAUUGCGAGACCUUCGACCUUCAAGUUUCCUGACUCACACAGAAGCUUUCACCUUUCAAUAUUCAUUUAAGAAAACUGUUGUUUAAAUUAGCAGUUAGACCUUAAAAACGGGGGGAAAUUGGAGUAGGGCUGAAAUAUAUAGCACCGUAGUGCCCAGAUAGAAAUUGCAUACUCUAUAUCAAGUGAACAUAUCCUCUGGCAGUGAUACAAUAGCAAUACUGUACUUAAGUCUUUCUGCUAUCGUAGAUAUGAAAUAGUUACUUUAUAACUUUAUAACUGGUUAUAAUAGUUUGCCUAUCCAACGAACCACUUUUUUAUGGUACCGCUUUUCAAAGGGAGUUGCCAAAUCUCAUUUUAAUCUCACAACAAUCUUGGGGAGUACAUGCUAUUAUUAUCCUCAUUUUACAUUUGAGGAAACUGAAGCAGUUUAGUUACUUGCCUAGGACCACUUUGCGGGGUCUAUGUUAGAUUAGAAUUCACGUCUUCCUGCUUCCAGACCGGCCCUCUAGCGGCAGUGGGGACUCCUAGAAGUGCCUAAGUAGGAGGUGAACCACUUAAGCAAUAUCUCGAGGGUAUGAGGGGGGGAGGGGGGCCUGGUGGUAGAUAGUCUGCUACUUAAGAUAGUUUUAGUUCAGAACCUGGAAUUUAAACUUUGAGUCUUAAAGACCUGAAAAUCUGUUUUGAGGAAAUUCCCGGUGGAAGCGUCCAGUGGGCCUCUUUUUUCUGUAGCUUGGAGUUGGAUAAGAUGACCCAAGAGCUUCUUUUAACUGGACCAUAGACACUUUUAUUUCUUUUUCUAAAUAAAGGCAGCUGGUCCACUGAAAAGGGAGAUAGAUUUGGAGUCAGGUUACCUGUCCUUGUGGUCUUAGGCAAAUUUACUCACUUUCCUCUAUAAAAUAAGGGUAUUAGACAAUAUGACCUGUGAUCACAGCUACCUCUAAAUCUGUGGCCCAGAUUAAGUAUAGCAAGUAAUUCCAUAUAAUCUGAAUGGACCUAAAGUAGUAAAGUAAAAUCAGAAUUAAAAUUUUUUUUUUCUUAUGCUAGUCAUUACUUUAUACAAUCAAAUGAUUUCAGCACAUUUUGCUGGGGAAUCUCAAAGCCACUGCCAAUUUACUCCUGCUUUUUUGGUGAGAUGCUCUUUAUCUUUACUCUAAGGAAACGAAAACUUAAAUUUUGCUGUAGAAAUUAGAACUUUGGAAUGUUCUCUUUUUACUUAAGGUUUGUCAUUGUCAUAACUGAGAAAGCAAUGAUGCAUAAUUGGAAUUAAAAAUGCUAGUCCUAGGAAUAAUAGCAUGGUAGUAGAAUCUAAUUCAUCCAUCUUUGUUUUUAUUAAUGAACUGAAAACCCUUAGAAGUAGACCAAACCUCUAUCCUUUGAACACUAAAAUGGUGAUACUCUGCCAUAAAUAGGUAGUAGAUUUUUGGGAAAACUUACUACUACCUGAACAAAUUGUCUGGUUUUAUUUUCUUUUGCAAUCAAAGGCAUGUAUUUGCCUUUUGAAAUACAAAGUACAUCAAUUUAAGAAAAUCAGGUAUGUGAAAUACAAAACAUAAACUGAUGAAUGAAAUAGUAGUUAAUUCACAUUCCAAAUGCAUUUACUCUUUAAGAAGCUAGCUCUCCAGGGUAUCUAAAAUAGGCUCCCAUAUAUUUCAAAUAGGAUAUUUGCUUAUUAAAAAUCAAAUUCUACAAAACUCAGCAAUAGAAAAUAUCUAUUGUACAAAGUGAAGUAUGCCUGUAUUUAGGUAAAGAAAAUUGUUUUCUGUAUCAUUUUACCUUAGUUGUCUGGCUUUUCAAAAAGAGUGGCACUUUUAGGACCUCAGAAAUGUCUUAUCUCCCUGCAUUCUUGAUACAUCCACAAGAAUGGAAUAUAGUAUUAGAUUUUUUUGAUAUAUUGAUUUAGUCACUGAAUUUUUCUCUUCUACUUUUUCUUUAACCUUUAUUUAAAAACAUUCUUAUAAGGGAUAACUUGCAGGAAAGCAUAUAAAGGGAAAUUUAGGCAAUGUAAAAAUAAAACGAUAUCAGUAAAAUUUACUUAAAACAAAAAAUUCUUGCUACUAAUGUUAAUAAUGCAUAACAGCAUUUCAGUACAUUUAACUGACAGUAACAUAAAUACCUUUA